rnacentral:sRNA from 1 species
GUCGGCCCCUGCGGGCCUCUCUCCGUCGCCAUGGAAACGAAAGCGGCCAAGUAGAGCUCCGUCCUGACGCGCCGCCUCCCGUGGGCUCCGGCCGGCUAAGCCGCGGCGGACAACUAUGCUGAAAGCCAAGAUCCUCUUCGUGGGGCCUUGCGAGGUUCGAGUCCUGCUGGCCGGCCCUGAUGAAGGAUGCUCAUGGAGUGGUGAUCGUCUUCAAUGCUGACAUCCCAAGCCACCGGAAGGAAAUGGAGAUGUGGUAUUCCUGCUUUGUCCAACAGCCGUCCUUACAGGACACACAGUGUAUGCUAAUUGCACACCACAAACCAGGCUCUGGAGAUGAUAAAGGAAGCCUGUCUUUGUCGCCACCCUUGAACAAGCUGAAGCUGGUGCACUCAAACCUGGAAGAUGACCCUGAGGAGAUCCGGAUGGAAUUCAUAAAGUAUUUAAAAAGCAUAAUCAACUCCAUGUCUGAGAGCAGAGACAGGGAGGAGAUGUCAAUUAUGACCUAGCCAGCCUUCACCUGGGACUGCCACAUCCCCAGUGAAAUCAGCAUGUUUCUCGGUGCAGAUCU